AAUUAUGGUGAGCUGAAUAGGGCAGCUUCGGCUGGCCGUUACGGUAGUUGCGGUAAUUCCUACCCCUGUUCAGUUCACCACUCAC
rfam:Vibrio mangrovi strain CECT 7927 genome assembly, contig: 0009